rnacentral:lncRNA from 1 species
GUCUAGCUAAACUCACCUUAUCUCUGAAGUUCGACCAUGUGAACUGCGGUGGGUUAAUUUUGAGGACUUUCAAUGAUUCAGCAAGCUAUUGAAGACCCACGAAGUAGUACAACUACUUACAUAUCCUAAUCUUUCACUUGGGUCUCUGAUGAUAUUAAAAUCGCCCAUAAUGAUCUAUAGGGUGGAGCUAAUUAAUAGAUGCAACUAUUUCAGUUCAUUAAAGAAGAGCUCUUGCUGAUGAUGAUCAUUAGGGCCAUACACAUUUGUUAUGAUCUAGCA